rnacentral:lncRNA from 1 species
ACCCGUUGCAUCAGAAGUUGCAUUAUAUAAGGCAUUAAAAAGGCUUUUAAGACAUCAUUUUGUGCCAUCUUCUAUGGGACUAACGUGGCGACAACACCCUGGUGCCUGAUACACUUUGCAAAGUACUGUGGAAAUAGUACUGUCUCUCGCUUAAAAUCUCUCUUUUACAGGGCUGUACCUUACUGAAAUCUGUGCAUAGCCAGGGGUUUGUUUACUUAGAAAAAGCAAGCUUUGAAAGGUCAUGCAUCCUCCUGGCCUCGUAAAGCCCUCUAUGUGUCACCAUUCACUUUCACAAUCUGGUGAAGGAUUAGGGGUUGUGAACUGUUUUGUUUUAAAUCUGAUACACUCAGCAGAACUCUUAGGCCCAGUUCUUCCUUUUUAUUUUGCGAUUCCGCAGUCCAAGAACAUCGUUGCUGAACCCCUCUUUUCCCUUGUUUUUGCUGCUGUCAUUUUAUUUUAUUUUUCCCCAGUUGCACUUUAAGACAGAGUUGAGGAACCAUCUACUCCAACUCUAUCAGCAUGGCCAAUGCUCAGAUAUGAUGGGGGUUGUCAUUCAGCAACGUUUGAGGGGGUCACACAGGACCUCCACAACCCUGCCUCAGGGCAACCCUGGCACCACGGCCAGCUCCUCUUUACCCCCCCACUAUUAAAUCCCGAACAGCUUUCCAAACUCAACAAAACCAGCCCUCCCUUGCAGCAGCCACAGCAGAAAUUAGACAUGUAACCCCUUUGUAAAACGUCGAAAGCAAACACCUCUCUGCAAGCAGAAGCCGCAGAUCUUUUGUAGCACACCCACCCAGUGAAAUAAUAUAUUUACAUUCUUGAGAAAAUCUGUUUAGAAGAAGCUCCCUGGUGAUAUUUGCAUGGUGACCCUCAAGCAGCAGGAAAGAUAAGAUCAACAUACAAACAGCAUUAAACAGAUGUUUUAAUUAAAAGUUCCAGCACUGUAUCACACUGCUAAACCUGCAUCAGUUCCUCAUUUGUUUAACUCCAAGGUGUAGAAGUUUUACCAAGACAACUUGCAAGAGUAGUUUCUAUGGAUUAUAUCCAACAUUCCAGUGAAAUGAGGGGGCUUAUAUGCACAUAUUUCAAUGGGUCUCCUUUGAGUAUGAUUUAGUUGGCUAUCACCCUGUGGUCUUAUGGAAAAAGUCAGCUAUUAGGCAAUGGAUGGGGUGGGUUGAUUAUGCUGGUGUGAGAAGUAAGCUCUUAAGCUGUGGAAAUCUUCAGGAUUUCCGCCCCAUGGAACAUUCUGGGCAUCAUCUUCCCCCAAUCUGGUGCCGUCCAGAUGUUGUUGGACUCCCAGCUCCCAUCAGCCCCAGCCAGCAUGGACAAUGAUCAGGGAACAUAGUUCAGUUGGUAGAGCAUGGGACUCUUAAUCUCAGGGUUGUGAGUUUGAGCCCCAUGUUGGGUAAAAGAAUUCUGCAUUGCAGGGAGUUGGACCAGAUAACCCUUGUGAUUCUUUUAUCUAUGAUGGGAGUUGUUGUUCUACCACAUCUACUGUGAGUAGCAUUUAAGAGAGCUGCAAAUAGUCCAGGGAAGCUUUCGGUUCUAUGCACGUUCCUUUUUUCAUAACAGGACAAAAACUUGCAGAACCUGUUUCCUAGAGGCAUAACCAGAAUGUGUGUACAAGUGACUUGCAAGAGUUCAAAGCCCUGCUUCAUCUCUUCCAGAAAUGUACUUGUUGUCUGUCUCCACGGCCAUUCCUAAAUCAGAAUUCUUCCCCAGAUCUGCUACUGUAAAUAGAGACACCCCUUCAUUGACCCAGAGACUUCAGAUCAAGUGUGGGGGAAACCUUUGCUCUCCCUUCGCCCCGUGUUGGUAGACUCCCAUCAGCCCUAGCAGGCAUCUCCAUUGUGAGCACUUUGGGUUGCUUCUAUUCUUGCAGAAGCUCACCCUAUAUGUGUCAGGAAUGAGCCAGCUCCAAGCAAAGGUUUGCAGCCAAAUGCAGAAAACAGCCAGGAACAGGGAGGCUUUGAUGUUAGACAGACAGGGGAGAGCCGGCAGCUGCAGAAUUCGGCUCUUCCUGACCUUUACAGGCAAGCUGAUAAGUAGCUGGGAGCAGGCUAGAACACAGCCAAAGCUCUCCAGAAGCUGAAAUGGGCUCGAAUAGACAAGGAGACAGUUCAUUGGAAAAGGAAGUGGUUGGCACUAAUCCAAUCUGUCCUAGGAGUCAGUGAAUGGGAGGGCUUCAAGACAGGAAGCAAAACGAGACACAAGGGGCGUCGGUUCAAUGUAUUCUGUAGAUACUGAAGAAGGAUCAUUUUGAGUAAUGAUGCCGGAGGCUUUGUUAGAACCGUCCAGAGCUAUCUGUUUUUGCAAUAAAUCCUCCUUUUUAAUUAUCUACGCUUACUGUGUUAUCAAGCUGGGAACCUGGCCUCCUGACAAUAUGCUUCCUAGGCUGUGUAUACAUCAUGCAGUUCAAGUACAUUUCAAGCACACAUUUUCCCCUCAAGAAUCCUAGGAACUGUAGUUUCCCCCCUCACAGAGAUGCAGUUCCCGGCACCCUUGACACACUAUAGUUCCCAGUGUUCUUUGAGGGAAGGUGAAAAUGCGAUUUGAAUGUUCCUGCAACGUAGGGUGCGUACACAGCCACAGUGCUUGGGAAUCCUGACAUGGGGCCCCUGCAUUUUAGUUGCAACAUCUUACCUGUUACAUCGUAAUUGCUCUCUUAUUUCUAGAUUAGGAGGCUAGAGCAAAUGCGUGGGCCAUACGUAUAGCUGCAAAUAUGCUGGUUGUGGAUGCCCUUCCUGAACAACCAGGGAGGGUCCCGAGUUACCAUGGUCCUUUAGGGUGUGAAAUAACUCUGUUGUGGCACAGUUGCUAGCACAGCUCUGUUUUGUUCAAGGCUCCGCAACCACCAAAUUACGUGAACUAUGUUUUAUUGCCAUGGCAAUGCUUUGAGCAAGGAACACAAUCUGAGAAAAUGAAAUGUGAAGCAUUCCUUCUGCAACGUAAUUCCAACAAUUUGUCUCGCUGCAAAUUGUGCCCUGACUUGGGGAUAGAUGUGGUUCCAGUUGCCAGUGUCUGCUGCCACUUGGAUGCAUUAUGUAGUGAGUUCACCUAGGUAGACAUGGCCAUGCUCAGACGUGUGCAUUGUUCUUCCCAAAUGGGACAUGAAUGCCUAGCCACAAAGGAAAACCCGAUGAUGAUGAUGAUGAAGGCAUUGUUCCUAUCAUGCCAUGGUGAGAUCCAACAUGAGAGAAGUGUUUUGUUUUUUUCUGGGGGAGGGGAGCAAGAAGACUCUAGGUACACCUUCAGCUAUGGGUAAGUGAUCCUAAACAUUUAUGGCGGAGAAUUUCAUAUAGCGUUGCUAGUUUGGGCAACAGCCCACUGGUGACCAUGAUUUACAAGGCUCACAAAGCCCCUUAGCCACCCCACCUCAUCAAUGCCUCUUUGGUUAUGAGGUGUUGGAAGUGGUUACCCUUUUCACCCUUGAAAAGUAGGUAGAACUGAAGGAUGAAAUUGGAAGAGUGACAGUCUUUCCCACUUCCUCUUUCACCUCUAUGUGUUUUUCCAAGGGUUGUUCUACCCAGAUUCCUUGAGAAAGCAAUACAUGUGCACUCUUUCAGUCUCCUGUGGGUGGAGGGCUGCACUCAGCGAGGGGAGUGAGAAGAGAGGGUAGCACUCACAGCACUCACUCAAAAAAUCAAUAUGUGUGCAUGGGUCUAAAAAGAUUAGUGACCCCUGAUUUAUAGCCCUGUCCCAUCUUCUGUUCUUCCACCACCUUACACCCUGUCUGGUGGCAGCCAGUUUCAUUAUCUAAUAAAUUAUCUCUCCCCACUCUUAGUCGUCAAGCCCUGCUUUUAUCAAAUAAGAUUUAGAAAUCCAGGCAUGUAUAUGUGAAUAGUGGUUGGGGUAUCCCUAUGCCGGUGUUAAGUCGUUUCUUUAAAGCCUUAAUGUGUGUGAAAUGCUUUAGAGAACAAGGAGCAACCUCUGUGGCAAAAAUAUCUCAAUAAAAGGAAAAUUGCCUGUUUAAAUGCUUGGCUUCUUGGCUUCCAAGACAUCAUUCUCAAUACCUAACCCUUCUUCAGAUAUCAUCAGAAGUGAUCUUUGCUUCCAUUAAAAGCACUUGGCUUUCCUUCAGAGUGAAUUUGUUUCGACAUAAAAUAGAGGCUUAAGGCAUUAAAGGGAAGCUAAAAGUUACUCUGUGUGAGCCUGUUGUUUUAUUUAUUAAGCUUCUGACUUGGAUAAAUCCCAUUGCUAUUAAUUUUACUUUGUGGUUUCUGAUAACUAAGUACUCAGGUUUCAAGAAGACCAGCUAUUCCAUCAGUCUCACAAACAAUUUUCAUGUUGGGGUGGGGUGAGGAGAUUCUUAGGCCAGCCUUCAGCUAAACUCUCCGAAGGGAAUAUGAUAAAAUCAUUUUUUUAUUUUAAAAAAAUCAGUAUAAAAUUGCUCCCAAAAUGGACAGCAGGCAAAACAACAGCAUAAAUUAAGAUAAAAAUCCCCUCCCCACCCCUUGAUUGCCACCAGUAUUUGGCAUCACUGUGUAGCUGUCUGGGUGUCUGUCCUGAGCAUUAAGUAGCUCAUUAUAAUUUCCCACUGAGCCCCUGCACAACAUCGAUCUGGAGCAUUGUGGGGAAUUUAAACAGCAGCCAGAUGCAGUCCCCUAGUGCUGCUUGGAUUGUUGCUGCUCACCACUGCCAGGUAAGUCCAUAGUUAUAGUCAGUUCAUUUAUUUAGCCCGGUAGCACAGUUGGUUAGAGCAUGUUGCUGAAAACCCCAAGGUUGCAGGUUUGAUCCCUGUGUGGGACAUGAGCCUCUAUGAUUUACUGCAUUUACCACAAAUAUGUAGUACUAAGAGGAACGCGAGUGGCUCUGUGGGUUAAACCACAGAGCCUAGGACUUGCCAAUCAGAAGGUCGGUGGUUUGAAUCCCCGCGAUGGGGUGAGCUCCUGUUGCUCGGUCCCUGCCAACCUAGCAGUUCGAAAGCACGUCAAAGUGCAAGUAGAUAAAUAGGUACCGCUCCAGCGGGAAGGUAAACGGCGUUUCCGUGCGGUGCCCAGAAGUGGCUUAGUCAUGCUGGCCACAUGACCCGGAAGCUGUACGCUGGCUCCCUCGGCCAAUAGAGCGAGAUGAGCGCUGCAACCCCAGAGUGGCCACGACUGGACCUAAUGGUCAGGGGUCCCUUUACCCUUUACCUUUAUGUAGUGCUAAAAGUGGCUGGCAACAAAUAGACAUCUGGGUUGGAUCCAGAUGAAGAGUGCAGUGUUUCCCACAUCUGCUUAGAAGAAAAGUCUUGUUUGAUUCAAUGGGGCUUACUCCUCGGUAUCUGGGGUUAGGACAGCAGCCAGGCCGAAUAAUCCAAAUCUGUGAUCCACCAGGGUGUUUGGGCGGAAGCGAAGUUUCACUCUGGGCUGGACUGACACAGGAUCUCCUGGAUCUUGAGCCAGCCCUGCUGUAAUAACAUGUUGGCAAUGGGCUUGAUCCAAGGCUUCUUUGCCUCUUUCCAAGUUGUGCAUUAUUUAUCUCUGUAUUUAACACGCAGUAAUGCUGAGCCACCCGCUUGGAAUCGAAAUGCUCAUUGCAUCUGCUGAGCCCACACCUCGUCCGCUAAAACGGUUGCAUGAUACUCACCUGUGGCAAUUGGCCAAAGUACAGCUGUCAUUCUCUAUUAUGGAGCCGGUCCAUUUAGUGCAGAAGGAUAAGUUUUUACUUUUGCACCUGGUGGCCAAACUUCUUU